UGGGGAAUAUUGCACAAUGGGCGCAAGCCUGAUGCAGCCAUGCCGCGUGUAUGAAGAAGGCCUUCGGGUUGUAAAGUACUUUCAGUCGGGAGGAAGGUGUCAAGGUUAAUAACCUUGGCAAUUGACGUUACCGACAGAAGAAGCACCGGCUAACUCCGUGCCAGCAGCCGCGGUAAUACGGAGGGUGCAAGCGUUAAUCGGAAUUGCUGGGCGUAAAGCGCACGCAGGCGGUUGAUUGAGUCAGAUGUGAAAUCCCCGGGCUUAACCCGGGAAUUGCAUCUGAUACUGGUCAGCUAGAGUCUUGUAGAGGGGGGUAGAAUUCCAUGUGUAGCGGUGAAAUGCGUAGAGAUGUGGAGGAAUACCGGUGGCGAAGGCGGCCCCCUGGACAAAGACUGACGCUCAGGUGCGAAAGCGUGGGGAGCAAACAGG
rnacentral:rRNA from 1 species